UCAGAUGGAAGCUCAUAUGGUUCUCUGGACUAAACUAGAUGCCCUCUGGACUUAUUCACAUCUAGACCUUACAAUGGGACUUUAUUUCACCCACCUGGGUAAGGAUUGGAAAAAAUCCUUUGUUGUACUACAUUAUUCACAGAAUUGUUGUGAAGAAAGCUCUUUGUAAUGGUAAAAGUAUUAUGUAGCAGUUGUUGUUGUUAUUAGAAUAGUAGUAUGAUAUCUUGGAACAAGCAGUGGACUUGGAGUCAGGAAAACUAUGAGUCUGCAUUCUUCCUUUGGACCAUAGUCAAGGUAAAGAAAUUCAAGUCUGCCAUCUCAGACUCCGUUUGUCGGGCUUCUAUCAAACGGCUGAUAUAUCUAUUUACUCGAGUUCCUGGAGUGGUGUAUACGAUGUUUGUAGAAAAAGAGGAUCGAUUCCUGAGUUUUUCCGAGGCUGUCCUUAAUGCUCUCCUCUGCAGUAUCAAUGGAAACAAAAGGACUACUGCUCAAAACCUUGUUUUGUUUUUUUAAAAAGAUCAUAUUAAAAAAACCUUAUUUGACAGAA